rnacentral:tRNA from 1 species
AGGGGCGUAGCUCAGAGGCCAGAGCGCCGGUCUCCAAAACCGGAUGCCGCAGGUUCGACUCCUGCCGCCCUUGCCC